AUAACACCAGCCCAGCUCCAUGCCAUGUUGGCUAUUCCCAAACCAGCUGGACUCUGCUCAGCGAGGCCACAAACAUGAGCUGAAGAGCAGGGAGAAGGUUCAGCCUGGCCCAGGAGCUGCCCAGGGGAUCCGACUGCAAGCCACGCUUACGGGAAUUCACUGACCACAGCAACCCUGCUUUGGAGUAUCCCAACCCCAAAAGCUUCCUCCCGUCCCUGAUAGCUGAGGAUGACACCUUCUGCACCAGUAUGGCUGAAGAAAAGGAGGACUCAUCUUCCAUGGAGUUGGAUGUCCCAGCAGCAGACAUGCACAGCAGCACAGAGGAUCUCCUCUCAGACUCUGCUCUCCACGGGUCGGAGUAUUACAGAGACCUGGGACUCCUGAGCCCACCAGUUGCCAAAACAGCACCAGAGGCGGCAGCGCAGCCAGAACAAGCAGCGCAGGCUGUGUCUGCUGUCCGCUUAUUGGAGGAGAGACCAAGGGCUCUGAGCAAAAUGUCUGUGGAUGUUGCUUUUUCCAACCCUGUUUCCUCCUCGGUACGUUACGGCGAGGCCGACUGCCGCUUUCUGAACAAAGGCCACGUUUGCUCCUGCGCAACGGUGCCAGAAGAUGGUACCAGCACUUCUGAGUGUCCUGCAGAGGCAGACAAAGAGCUGGACCUGCAGGAGGCCAAAGACUUCUUCCCCACGCUGGUGAGAUCCAUGUCUACCUCUCGGAGGCACAGCUGGGAGAGCCCUUUGUCACCCGUGGACUGCAAGCGCAGGUAAAGCAGGACCAUGAGCAAUAUUUGAUGUGUAUGGCACAACGAUGCUGCGUGAGGCUGGAGCAAUCACACUGCCCUGAGCUCCAGCUGCUGCUGGGUGGUCUCCUCCCUUGUCAGCUU
rnacentral:lncRNA from 1 species